rnacentral:rRNA from 1 species
AUUGAACGCUGGCGGCAUGCCUUACACAUGCAAGUCGAACGGUAACAGGUCUUCGGAUGCUGACGAGUGGCGAACGGGUGAGUAAUACAUCGGAACGUGCCUAGUAGUGGGGGAUAACUACUCGAAAGAGUGGCUAAUACCGCAUGAGAUCUACGGAUGAAAGCAGGGGAUAGCAAGACCUUGUGCUACUAGAGCGGCCGAUGGCAGAUUAGGUAGUUGGUGGGAUAAAAGCUUACCAAGCCGACGAUCUGUAGCGGGUCUGAGAGGACGAUCAGCCACACUGGGACUGAGACACGGCCCAGACUCCUACGGGAGGCAGCAGUGGGGAAUUUUGGACAAUGGGCGCAAGCCUGAUCCAGCAAUGCCGCGUGCAGGAUGAAGGCCUUCGGGUUGUAAACUGCUUUUGUACGGAACGAAAAGCCCUGGGUUAAUACCCUGGGGUCAUGACGGUACCGUAAGAAUAAGCACCGGCUAACUACGUGCCAGCAGCCGCCGUAACAC